rnacentral:rRNA from 1 species
AUGGCAGCGAAAAUCCGUCAUUCGACUCUUCUUCUUCUACUACUUGUAGUAGCUUUCUUCCUACCCCUGGUCUGUUCCACGGAGUUCGUCCACCUGUACUUCAAUUACACCAUCGACCCCUACACCAAGAACUACGCAGACUUGAAGAGAAUACUGGUGAGGAACCAGCCUGAGCUGCGAGUGCUGACGAGCAGGGCGUUGGCGGUUCGACGCCUCAACUUCUAUGACCUGCCGGCUCGAGUGAUUUUAUGCCACCUCAACGGUGAUCUUCCCCAGGACAAGUGCGUCGUCGCCUUCGCAGACGACGAUAUCUCCGCCAUGGGCUUCAGGAACUCCACCGGGCACUGGCACUGCAUAGGAGGCUUCCGGUUCGCGGGCUGUACAGUUCUCCCCUUCGGGGAGAAUUACGGCGAGCUUCUAGGAGAGGGUGGCCACGUAAACCUCCCGUUGGUACCGCUCGGGAGGGAGGCGGCGAAAGAGGGAGUGCGCCUUCUGGCAAGCUACUCAUACUCCCCCGGCGGGGACCUUGGACCGGCUAAGCGAGGCAUGGCCAGGUUCAUCGUCAUGAUAGCCGAAGCAGCCCGUUUCCGGCCCGUCAGCAACAGGUUGGCGGAUCACUGGGAGGAAGAGACUUACAUGCUCGAGGUUGAGGCAAAUUUCUGUAUAAACUGGGGGAAAAUGUCGUUUUUACUUAUUGACUGGGAUAAAACAACCGGGCGUACAAGCUGGGGAAGGGGCCAUUACACAGCGGCUCAAGAGCUGGAGCGGGAAACAGGAAUUAAGAGCCAAGGAGAUGUUUUACGCGUCCUAGACCUGCUGGUGAGGCCAAGAUCAGUAGUAGUAAUACACUUCUUGGUGCGCAUGUUAAAGUCUGGAUAUCCAUUGCAUUAUGUCUCGCUCAACUGUCCGGUGAAGCUGAAGCAAUUCUUGCCAGGUCAUAGGCCACUGCUGAAGGGAUCAGGAUGGUCUCAGAGUCGUUUAAAACUGAAGGCAGCACAGAGUGCACGAAACGGCGUCACUGCAGCCCAAGUGGAUGAGUCGGCCGCCCACGUCGUAGGUGCCCCGGAUACCAGCGGAGCAACUGGAUAUACCGGAGAAUUGGGUGUCAAGCCAGAUGAUCUUAGCCUGGAGAAAUAUUUUGCUGCUAAAAGUCUUCUUUCAUCAAGACUGAUGGUGAACAUGUCCACUUCACUAAGUCAGAAGCCUCAGACUAAGAUGAUGAUGAUCAAAGCAAUGCAGAAGAAAUCGAAAUGGGGCUGCGGAGGCGACUAUGACAACAUCAUCACGGUGCUGCGGCGGCGGCGACGACGACGAUGCCGACAUCAACACCAUCAAACACGGGCUUGUGGAGGCGCCGACGCCGACGACCUAUACGCGUGCGUAUAUUGUGUGUGUGUGUAUAUAUGUGUGUAUUAA